GGGUAUGGAAAAUUAUGCCGUCGGCCACUAGCGAAAGCCCGUAGCAAUUGCAGCUCAAAGCGCAGGGAGCGGAGCAGCGCACCGACGAAGGGGAUCCUGGUGGCGGCUGUCCACAGGCCCGUGGUGAUGAGCAGCUGAUCUACUGUUACAUGUCGUGGGGAUCCCGUCAAUUGGCGGUUCCUGGUAACAGAGGGUUGUAGUCGUCUCUUCUUGGUCGCCGACGCCCAACCACAGCGGUGGUUAUUGGCUUGGGAUAUUGCAUCCGGUUUCUCCACUUCUGAAGUUCUUGUGCAAAAUUUAUGGGUUUUGUCAGUCAUGCUGGUUGCUUGUGUCGCAGUAAGUGCCUGCUUUGCAUCAUCAUACUGCUGCCCAGAGCUCUAUGGUUCAGAUGGCGCUGUACUUUGGCCUGUAUGGCCCGGUCAGGGAUUCUGUUGUUGGCCAUCCAUCGUCUCUACCUGUUAAUCCCGGUCAUUACAUCGUUGAUGUUUUUGUUUCCUGGCCAUCUGGAAUAUGUUGCUUGCAUUUGGAUUUAGAAACAUGCUAAUACCGUGGUUCAUGUUUCAUGCUCCAAAAUAUUUCCACUAGAUUGCACAAGAUGGGACUGUAUAUAAGAACUGUGCACAACAAUUGCACUAUGAAAUUAUAAAAUGUACUUGAUUGCACAAGAUGGGCCUUAUAUGAGAACCGUGGACUCACUCAAAGUUGUUUGGCUAUUGGCAGUCAGGUUUGCACAAAUAUGAUAAGAUUUUACUGAGCUUGUGAUUAUUUAGAUAUAUUAUAUAUCUACCAUUAAAGCUAUUGAUUCUUCUACAUUAGGUAGUUCAUCUUGCAACAAAUAGAGCUAGAUUCUUUUGCUAUUUUCAACAAUCACAACAGGGUAUAAUCUCUUUGAUUUUGUAUCACACUGACAUAGAGUCUCAUCUUUGGUUUGCACAUGAUAAUCCUUCUUGUUUAAUAUUACACCGGGAUAGAAUUUGGUCUUUGAGAAUAACUAGCCCCCUCAAAUGGUAUUGAGAAAGGACCUUUUUUGUUCCCAACAUGUAGCCACACUACGGCUGCAGCGGGCACGUCGUGCAAAACAUAAGCAUGUUGGUAAAGAUGUUUUUUUGGUUGAUUUUUUCCAGUAUUGUUGUUUACUCUUCUCUAGGUUGAAUCUGUCACAAAUGCUGGUGAGAUGGAAGUCAUCAUUGCUGCUGGUUACUGCUGGUUGUUCUAUUAGUAUGUCUUUUUCCUCCAAUUUUGAUUGAUUGCGUUUGUUUAAUUUUUGGGUGUGCUUUUAUCCUUUACUUCUACUCCAUUACUUGGGAUUAAUUUGGUUAUUAUGCUUAUCUCAUACACAAUUAUUCAUCUAGAUGUAGGUUGUUGUGCUUUGUGUUGUUCCUACAAUUUUCUACACCUAUGGUACCCCAUCAACGUGUCAAAUUCACGAUCCUAUAAAGCGGAAUGAUCUGGUCUAAUAAACAUGAAUAAGGCAAUGACAUGUCCCAGUACGCGUUGGUAUGGCAAAUGUAUUAACCGGGUUCUUUACCACUUGACCCUUUUCAGUGUAGCAAUAAAUAAUUUUUUUGUACAAUACUUAGUAACCAUAUAACUCAUGUUUGUUCAUUGGUCAUUUGGUAAGUGUAUCAUCUAUAUAUAUUUAUUUUAUUUCAUGUUAUUUGCAAAUAAGAGCUGAAGUGUUUUUUUUUUCUAAAAGUUUGGUAUGCAACGCCAACACUCUUAUAUUCCUGUCUAACACACUUAGGUUUUUAUGUACUUUGUUAUUUACUUAGUUUUUGAAUGUAGCCAAAUUUUCGUAUGUGAUAACUCUCUUAUAUCCAUUUGUCUUCAAGCGUUGUAUGUAUUUCCAGUGGCUAUGCAUUACAUUUUCUCUGGGGUUAACAUUUAAUCACUACAAGUCUAUAAUGACUCGACAAAAUUCUUCGAUGUGAACGGACAUAUUUAUUUUUAUGUCUAGCUGAACACCGCCCCAGACCCCUGUAAUUUUGUGUGUGUGUAGUUUCUCAGAAUAUGUGUCAGAAAAUUAUCGAUUCAUAUCUUGAAAUUGAGCUCAGGCUAAGUUGGUACAUUUGCAGUAGUUAAUUAUUUGCAGUCACAUUGUGAUGAAAUAUUUAACUAGAAGUGCGACCAACCUUAGAUAUUGUAUGCACCUGGGUGCAAUUUUUGAUGUUUAAAUUGGCUAAUUGGGCAAGAGCCCUUUUUACUCUUGCAGAAUAUUCUAAACCAAUGAAUUUGAUAAUUUAAGAGAACCUGAUGUAUACGAUUUUUAAAACUGUUAUUCACCAUUGUUUUAUGUUUAAAAAUAUUGGUAUAUGGCCCAUGAGGAAACCUACUGAACAGUGCUAUCAGUUAUUGAAUUUUCCGUGAUGUGCUUGCACUCUUUCUUGGGUGACAACGGAGAUUUAUCUUCUGAAACUCAAACACCGUUAUGGUUACUAAUGAGGUAGACACUUUCAUGAAUCCUGUUGUGAUUGGCAAUGCUACUGGUGUGUAUACUUAUAGCAGCAAAUAGAUUCGGCACAAGGAAGAAAUUUUAUCGAGCUAUAGGGAGAUCUCAGUAGUCCAACAUCAGACCAUGCCAGCUUGCUAACUAUAGUUUUGGAUUACUUUCUUUGGAAAUCAUGGGUAUUAAAGUUUUAGCAUUUCUUCGUUAUUACAUUAUGCUGAUGGUCCUGCAUUACUGGACAUUUCUGGGUUGGCGCUUUCUUCUAAUUUCGGUGCUUCUAUUUCAUCUGGGUGCCUAUGCUUCGUGCCUACUGAUCUUGAGGAAAAAUACUUAGUUCCUCAUGUCUGUGCUACUGCACUUUGUUGCCAAACGUCUUCUAAGUUUAGGAAUAAGACAUGUGCAUGCAGUUCAAGUUUUUAAAGAUUUAAUAUAGUAUGGUAUAACAAUAGGACAUGUGCAAUUGUGCACAAAGUGAUAGCUCAUCUUUUUUAGAGUUAAGAUUUUCAAUAUAAAUUCCUGAGUUGUUGUGGUGAGUCUAAAGUUGAUUCCUACUGCUUGCGUUGCCGCUCCACUCUUUCUUCUUUGUGCACGCAUAGUUCUGAGAGAGGUGAUAGGUAAUCAAGACGACAGACAAAGAAAUUAAUAGUUGCAUGUUUUUUCAUCAAUCAUUUUGUGGGAAGUGCACUUUCUCAGAGGAAACAUUUCCAUGUGACCUGGAUUAAUAGCUAGCUUACCUGAAAUAAUCUGAGUGGACCGCAGGGAUGAACAAGAAGAUAUAUGGAGGGCACCAGUGCUAGGCCUGGAGCCAUGGUGACCGUCAACGCUUAACAGUGCCAAGAUGUAGAAUGUCUGGUCCUCUACAGGACAAAGCAGCACACAUUGUUGUGGACGCCACAUGCAUAUGUUGGCCUUAGACGUCAGCUGCCCAAAUUCAAGAGAUAUAUUGUGCUGCUAUUUAGCAGGCAACUUAUUUACUUUAUCAUUUCUACCUGCUUAUCAAUUGUACUUGGUCAUGUAGACCAUGAUAUCAGUACAUUGCUUCCACAGUAUCUUAAUAUGUAAUAUGUGUCUUUUAUCAUUUUU